GGGGGUAUAGCUCAGUGGCAGAGCGCAUGCUUAGCAUGCACGAGGUCCUGGGUUCAAUCUCCAGUACCUCCG
rnacentral:tRNA from 1 species